GGAUGAAUAUUGGUCAAUGGGCGGAAGCCUGAACCAGCCAAGUCGCGUGAGGGAAGACGGUCCUAUGGAUUGUAAACCUCUUUUGCAGGGAGCAAGACGCGGUACGUGUACCGUGCUGGAGAGUACCCUGAGAAAAAGCAUCGGCUAACUCCGUGCCAGCAGCCGCGGUAAUACGGAGGAUGCGAGCGUUAUCCGGUAUUUAUUGGGUUUAAAGGGUGCGUAGGCGGACUGGUAAGUACAGCGGUAAAAAUUGCGGUGCUCAACGCCGUAGUGCCGUUGAAACUGCCGGUCUUGAGUGAGCGAGAAGUAUGCGGAAUGCGUGGUGUAGCGGUGAAAUGCAUAGAUAUCACGCAGAACUCCGAUUGCGAAGGCAGCAUACCGGCGCUCAACUGACGCUGAGGCACGAAAGUGUGGGGGAUCGAACAGGAUUAGAUACC
rnacentral:rRNA from 1 species